AAGUCGUAACAAGGUAACCGUAGGUGAACCUGCGGUUGGAUCAUUAAAAAAUAAUUUAAAGGCCAUGUGCUUUUAAAUGGAUGGAGGCCGUGCGCCUUCUUUCCGACUCCUAUGUGAACUAUCCUGUCUCUGGUGGUGGGGUACAUCAUUGUGGAAAGGCAGUCAUGCUGGACCAAGUUUUAUGCCUGUCAGUUCUGCUGCUAGUCAGCGGAACCGUGGACAAGCCACCAAACAGUUGACCACUCUUGAUUAUUACUUUGUCUAAUGUCACUUUGUAUCAUAAUAUACAAACAACUUUUGGCAACGGAUCUCUUGGCUCUC
rnacentral:misc_RNA from 1 species